GAGGGACAGUCACCGCAGCGUUAGCUAACGUUAGCUUCUUGUUUCAUCUGGGGUCUAAUAAACAGUCUAGUUUGUAGCAAUGAAACAGACAACACCACUAUUCAACAAUGUUUUUAUUUGAAUACAACAUUAGAAAUGAUAACUUCUACACACCUGAUAAACGUGUCUUUCUGAAAUGUCUCUUUUAGAACAACAAUGAAUAGAAAGACUGAGCCUGUCUCCUUAUCAACCUUAAGACGAAGGACACGUGUAGACGUUCAAAAAAGGCACCAUCAAAUUAGGACAUACUUGACUGACAUGGACAUGACAGGAACAGUGGCAGAUGACAGAGUUCUUUCUGAGGACACUGCCCCACCUUCUUCAGCUGCACAUGCAACGCCAGAGGUGCAAGUUGUUAUUGAAGAUGACAUGGAAUUAGAGGCAGAUUUUGAUGAUGUGUACAUUACUCUGGAUGAAAAUUUGCUGUAAGUAUUUCACAAAAGUUGGUAUUUUUCCAUGUAUACACAACACCCAUGAAAUUCAUGUUUUCAAAAUACGAGAUGAAAUAUUUUCCCUCAAAAUGCCAUGGGGAAAUGAUAUUUUAUGCUGAAUUUAACAUGCAUUGACAUGUCCCAUCAUUCUCAAAACCAUUGACCGUACAUAGUCCACUAUAUUAUUAGCAUUAUUCAAAGAUUUUUGUGAGAUUAUGAAACAACACCCCAACACAUUCUGCCAAAAAAUGCAACAGUACUCUACAGUUGAGCUGAAGUUCUACUUGACCAUUAUGACCUGUAUUUUUUCCUUCCUUAUACUUCUUUCCACCUUGGGGCACCAUUCAGGUUAACUUUCAGCCCAUCUUACUUGCUUAUUUGUAUACAUUGUAGGCCUAUAAUUGUGCAUGCUUUAGUCCAUGUUAUUCCCUUUUUGAUGAUGAAUAAAUACCCUUUUUCUUUCUUUCUACAUUAAGGAUGCCUUUUCAUCUAAUUGAAUUUCAAGCAAGCGGGGACAUUGCUGUUGUGCCAGUUGACUGGUAUGAUGACGGGAUGGUGUACUGGCCCAGCUUUAAGAGCACUGAACGUGUGAAACGGGCAGCUGCUAACGAGGAGAAGCAUGAGCCAAACUGGCCAAGAUAUGACGUAAAGGUCGUCAGAACUUGUGACAACUACAAAGACGCCAUCAGGCUAAUGAAUCAAUAUCAGUCCGGCUGCAACGCCUCUGAGCUACAGUCUGAGGCAGAGCAGGAGGGUGAGCUCCCAGAGAAACGAGUCAGGAAGCCAAUCCAUCGUUUUGGGGACUCUGAUGAGAGUGAAGAAGAGCCAGAAAAUUGUGACUUAGCUUCUCUGAGGUCGCCACGACCUUCCAACUCGGCUGGUGUAUCAGUUGGAUCCUCAAGCACAAACCAAUUACACUGGCAGAGUAAGGAAUAAUCUCUUAACAUCAAAAUAACAAAAUCAUAAUAUUAAUAAUAUAGAUAUGGUUUACCUUGUUAGUGCUAAAGAGAUUCCCCUCUCCUUGUAUCCAUUCCUCCAGCUCCACCAUCUCGCCGAGUGCCAGGCAGCAGAGUCACUCCUCAACCUGGAGGAAACUGUCUGGGUAAAGUGGCCCCAUCUAGAUUAACACAGCAACGGUCAGUCUGUUUCAAAUCAACAGAUUGCAU
ensembl:lncRNA